rnacentral:rRNA from 1 species
ACGAACGCUGGCGGCAGGCCUAACACAUGCAAGUCGAACGCUCGUAGCAAUACGAGAGUGGCAGGCGGGUGAGUAACACGUGGGAACCUUCCCUAUGGUUCGGAAUAGCCCAGGGAAACUUGGGGUAAUACCGGAUAAGCCCUUCGGGGGAAAGAUUUAUCGCCAUUGGAUGGGCCCGCGUCGGAUUAGCUAGUUGGUGAGGUAACGGCUCACCAAGGCGACGAUCCGUAGCUGGUCUGAGAGGAUGAUCAGCCACACUGGGACUGAGACACGGCCCAGACUCCUACGGGAGGCAGCAGUGGGGAAUAUUGGACAAUGGGCGCAAGCCUGAUCCAGCCAUGCCGCGUGAGUGACGAAGGCCUUAGGGUUGUAAAGCCCUUUCGACGGGGAGGAAGGCACCGGCGCGAAUAGCGUUGGUGAUUGACGUAACCUGGAGAAGAAGCACCGGCUAACUCCGU